GAUCUGGUCAGGAUGAACGCUGGCGGCGUGCCUAAUACAUGCAAGUCGAACGAGAGAGCUUGCUCUCUAGUGGCGAACGGGUGAGUAACACGUAGGUAACCUGCCUUACAGUUGGGAUACCCUGGCGAAAGCUAGGCUAAUACCGAAUAAUUGGAUUGGAGGCAGUCUCCGAUCUCUAAAAGGGGGCCUUUAAAGCCUCGCUGAAUGAUGGACCUGCGGCGCAUUAGCUAGUUGGUGAGAUAACAGCCCACCAAGGCGAGGAUGCGUAGCCGACCUGAGAGGGUGAACGGCCACACUGGAACUGAGACACGGUCCAGACUCCUACGGGAGGCAGCAGUAGGGAGUUUUCGGCAAUGGGGGCAACCCUGACCGAGCAACGCCGCGUGAAUGAUGAAGGUCUUCGGAUUGUAAAGUUCUGUUAUAAGGGAAAAAUGAUAGGGUGAGGAAAUGCUCUCUAUUUGAUGGUACCUUAUUAGAAAGCCACGGCUAACUACGUGCCAGCCGCUGC
rnacentral:rRNA from 1 species